AAACCCGUCAGGUGGAGUGUGUCGUUUCUUUUCCUGUUUCCUGUAUGUUAUCAUCUACUGUUUUCAUGUAUAGCCGAGGCUGAUGCUAACCAAAACCAAGGACCUACAAUUAAACUUCAACAAAAUAAUGGACCAGUUCCAGAUUGUGAUCCCCUGAAAGAGUGAGGUCUUCGUUUUUUAGGCGUUUGGAAUUCACAGCAACAGUGAAAAUUUCUCUCAGUCUGACUAUCUUUAUCUUUUUCUUUGUCAUGUACAUGGACUUGCAAAUUCGCAACUAUUAGUGUCUUCUCAGGCAAAUCUUGGGGACUUGCUACAAUCAUACAGUGGUCAUUACCACUGGCACUGCAAAUCAACGGAUCGGAUGGUACAUCAAAAGGAGCAAGACUUCACUACUUUGGCCAGCUUAUGAAGCUUGGUGACUGUCUGAAUAGAAAUUAAGGAGCCAAUAAGAAUGUCAUCUUUCAGGAUCUGGACGCACUUCUUAUCCCAAAAAACCAUCAAUCAUGGAACGACAUGUUGAACUCACUGCCAGCCAACAUGGCUGCCUAUAUGUUUCGUUCGUUAUUUUUCCAUUAGACAUGGCCGGAUACGGGUUUAGAUUCCAACGUAAUCAAUGAAAUCGCAAAGCCUUAUAAGAAAUACCCUUUCAUAACACAGUACCGAAAGGAUCACAUUUUUGGACGAUCCGUGAGGUCAACGUAUAUAGUGGAUCCAUUACAAGUCCAAGUUGUUGGUGUACAUAAUGUGUGGAAAUUCAGGAAGGGCGGCAUAUCGUACUAUUUUCGACCAGAGGUCGCUCUUGUUCAUCAUUAUCGUGAAAUAAAGCACGAUCGAAUAUUCGCCAUCAUAGGGAUAAUAGUACAUUGAGAUUUAUAGGCGCUCUGCACAAGAUCGUUACUUCACAUUCCACUUGGACCAAUCCACUAGGUUCCAGAUAUUUUUUAUGUUUAACACAAUUCCCCAAAUGCUUUGAUCAGUUUUAAAAAGGCAUAUUAACCAUUUUGGUUAAUUUUUUAUUUUUAUUGUUAACAUUGAAUGCUUAAGUAAUUCAUUUCUAAUGACCAACCAAAAUUUGAGUGUUAGUUAUAGCAAGCCAACGAGCUAAAUAAUUAGGACAAUGAAAAAAAAAAUAAGGCUACAUAUGUAGGAUGCUAACCUGUAACCACAAGUUACCAACUGAAUGUUGAAGAUAGGAAGAUAUAGUGGUAUACAAAAAAAAAAUAAAACACCUAAAAAGGAUAUUGGAGACGAAUGUUACUAAUUAAUAUAUAUAUAACUAUGACGUAGCGAAUACCUGUAUUUAUGAUUAUCGUCCUUCAUAAUGAGAGUGUAAUAUGCGAUUUUGUACAUUAUAAGUAGUUAUGUAAAAGUAUUUUGUGGGUU
rnacentral:sRNA from 1 species